GCAGUUUCGGGCUGUGAGAGCCGAAGCUCACUGAGAUGUGACGCUUCCUGUUGGGUUGAGAACGCACGAAGUCUACGAUGCUUAGACAAAAAAAUCUCAGAAACUAAGAAAUCAUUCGAAUCCAGUUCCUUGUUUAUUCACAAUUAAAACCUUAGUGAUAAAACAGAGGCGACGCGCGGACAGCUCCUGGAAGCAGAAACACGAUUGGGGUAAAAUCCGGCAGCUAUCAGGACGGGAAGGGAUGCUGCCCUUCUUUGCUUUUCUGGUCUUAUUUUAUUUUAUUUUAUUUUUAUUUUGUCGCGUGUGCUUUCGGUGUCGCAGUGAAGUCAUAGCCAAAUACAAUGUUAGGAAGAUUUUCCUCUAUGUUUUCUCCUAAGAGUUUUAUAAUUUAAACUCUUAGACCUUUAAUCCAUUUUGAGUUAAUUUUCAUAUGUGGUAUGAGUCCACAUUUACUCUUUUUCAUGUGGAUAUCCAGUUUUCUUAGUACCAUUUGUUGAAAAGACAUUCUGUGCCCGUUUUUAAGACAUUGACCUGAGGUUCGGAGAUUGUAAAUCAUUUGCCAAGAAAGGCCAUGCAGUUUGGGAGCAGCAGUGCCUGGGGCUACAGAAGACCCUUGCUUCUGGGACACCCUCUAAUGUCAUGCUUUGCAAGGUUUUGCUCUGUCCCUCUUUGAGCACCUGCUAGAAGCAGGUAAAAGAACUGGUAGUUUUGCUGUUUUAACUUAAAAAAAGAAUGAUUUUAGACUUACAGAAAAGUUGCAAAGGUAAUAAAGGGAGUUCCCACAUACCCAUCACCCAUAUUGCCUUAUGUUAACAGCUUAUAUAACCAAUGAAACUAAAAACUUAACAGUGAUACGAAACUAUUAACUGUGUUACUGAUUUUAUUUUAAUUUCACCAACUGUUCCACUAAUGUCCGUUUUCUAUUCCAGGACCCAAUUCAGGAUACCAUAUUGCAGUUAGUUUUCCUGUGUUCUUAGCCUCCUCUAAUCUGUGACAGUUUCUCAGUCAGUUGUCUUCAAAAACCUUGACACUUUUGAACAGUACUGGUUUCUGUAUACUAUCCCUCAGUUUGGGUUUGUCUGAUGUUUUCUCAUGAUUGGACUGAAGCUGUGGAUGUUUAGGAAGAAUGCUACAGAGAUUAUGUGCCUUUCUCAUUGCCUGGUAUCUGUGGGUACACGGUAUCAACAUGACCUAUCACUGAUCACUGGGGAACUGAUCAUUUGUUGUUUCUUGUCUUUUAAACCUAAGCCACUGCAAUAGUUUCUGAAAUUCCUGUUCUGGGGAUGCUACCAGAUUUCUGCUUCAAUAUCAUUUCCAUGCCAUUUGUUUUCAUAUACAUCUAAAAUGGCCUUUGAUUGUUUAUUGCACCAAGUUCAAGCUUCGCAAACUGGCAUUUUGAAGUCUCAUUUUAUCCAGCCAACUUUACCUUCCACUGUUCCUCACACAUUCCCUUUGUCCUCAUUUCUUCUCUCCAAACCACCAUUUCCAGUCUGUCCUUAGGCCAAGGCCCGGGGUUCCUUUAAUUUCUUGUUCAAGUCAACAUGAAGUUCCUUUGACUUCUUCACACAGCAGUGAGUUUUUCUCUUUUCUAAAUUUCUGGUCAGUUCCUACAAUCUCACUUUAAUGUGGUUUUACUUUUUUUCUCCAGGUGUUUAAUGUGUGUUUUUGGUCUUCUCCCCAAGCAAUGGAAACAGAGUUGCUGCUUCAGUGGUAGUAGUACUUGCAAUUCAAGUAACACUAACUUAAAAUCUACUUUAGACACAGUGGGCGAUAGUAUGAAAGAACCAAGAAGGAUUUCGGCUGUCCUGGAGCUGAUAAUGCUGCAAACAAGGUGAGGGUGCAUACAGUAAGUAGCUGCAAAGCCAUGAGGAUCAUAGAAAAUUUCCCAAGUCCAUGAGGAAAGAAAAAUAUACAGGCAAAAAUUUACAUACAAAUCAGGGCUUUAUUUAUUGUUUCAUCAGUUGAUUAGACUUAAGAAAGUAAUGAAGAAAAUGUCAAAAUAAUGCAGAAUAAACUUAAAAGUGUGUGGUGCUAAUAUCCAUUACAUUGGGAAUAGCCCCCCAAAUUGAGAAAAUAUUAUUUCAGUACAUAUUAGAAAACUAUUUUCUGACUCAGGAAAAAUCUCACUCACAUCAUUGAUGAACAAUAUAUCUAGUGCUAAAACUAGGUUUUAAUUUAAUGACUAUAGCCUGUACUACACUCAUUAUAUAAUAGGGUGACAAAUACUUUAAUAAUAGAUUACAUAUUACAUCCAAUAACAAUACGUUAUUGAUUUAUUAGAAAAUAAAUGGGUAUAUAACUCCAUUUGUCAAAUCAGUUCAGCCGGAACCAUAGGUUGGCUAUGGAUUGCAAAAGUUCUGCAAAAAUCAAUGAAAGCAGUCUGUAGGAACCAAUAGUAAAAUUUACA
rnacentral:lncRNA from 1 species